rnacentral:lncRNA from 1 species
UGUCCAUAGCAUUGUUAUUCACAACAGCCAAAAGAUGGAACCUAAGUGGAUAAGCAUACAUAUAUGCCAUUCAAAGGAUAUUAUUCAGCCUUUAAAAAAAGGAAACCAUGACACAUGCUCCAAUAAGAAUGAAACUUUAAGACAUUAUACUCAGUGAAAUAAGCCAAUGACAAAAGGACAAAUGCCUUUUUUUUAAAUGAGUCCAAAAUCUUGGGAAAAAUAUUUUAAGAGAGAGUUAAUGUAAUAGUUUUCAUCCUUAUAUACAAGCAUGCCUUCAUUUUAACUUGAAAAAUAUACAAUCAUAGAAAGACAUUUAGAUUAACACAGACAAAUGCCUUUUUAAUAGUUGAUCUAAAUGAAUAAUAGUCAUUAGUAGUGGCUCAGAAGAAUAGGAGGUUGGGGAAAUGGAGGAUAGAUAAUGAGUACCAAAACAUGGAAGUAAUAACUUCUAAUGUUCUACAGCACAGAAGGGUGACCGUAGUUCAUAAUAACCUAUAUAAAUGUUAUGAAAAACUAGAAGAGAGGAAUUCUAAAGUUCCAGACGUGAAGUAAUAAUAAUGAGAUGGGAACAUUAAUUACCCUGAUGUGAUUAGUAAAUAUUGUAUACACAUAUUGUUAUUUCAGUAACAAUUGUUAUUUCAAUACAUGUAUACAAUUAUUAUGCAUGACCAAAAAUAUUAUUAAGAGUCAAGGCUAGGGUUUUAACUUGGUAAUAGAGUAUGUACUUAACCUAUGCAAGGCCCUGGGUUUAAUCCCCAGAUUACCAGCACCCCAUACACAUAAAAAGAGUUUAAGGAGAUGGAAAUGUUAACUGUCAUGAUUUGAUCAUUA